rnacentral:rRNA from 1 species
UACGGGGGGAGCAAGCGUUGUUCGGAUUUACUGGGCGUAAAGGGCGCGUAGGCGGCGUAACAAGUCACUUGUGAAAUCUCCGGGCUUAACCCGGUGCGGCCAAGUGAUACUGUUGUGCUAGAGUGCGGAAGGGGCUACUGGAAUUCUCGGUGUAGCGGUGAAAUGCGUAGAUAUCAAGAGGAACACCUGAGGUGAAGACGGGUUGCUGGGCUGACACUGACGCUGAGGCGCGAAAGCGUGGGGAGCGAACAGG